AGCAGAGCUUGGUAAACAAGGGAGUAAUGAAGUGAUCUACAGGACUUUAGCUCAGCCGACAUUUUGAUACAGGAUGCAGUACAUCAAUAGAACACACCGGACUCUCCUCCACCAAUCAUAGAAGGAGAAUGGUCUAAUGCCUCCCAUCAAAAAGAGAGCUGGUCCAAGCAAGCACAGGUUGCACCUAAAACAUGACGAGCGUGACCUUCAACGACUACGGAGAGGAUAAUGCAAUAGUAUUAUCAGAACGCCACCUAGGACAAAAACACUUGGUGGAAAGCUGCUGAUGCCAUGUGACAAAAGCAGCUCUACAAGGAAUCAAUGACAAAUCUUGCUUCGAUGCUCUGGAGCCUGUUGUCAUCAUCACCAAGCGUUCAGACUCAGUCGGGAUCAGGUUUCAGCUGCUACGCAACGCUGACAUCAUUCCUCCCAUAGAUGGUCUGCCUGUAGAAGCACCGCCUGGACUGGACACAGCUUGACAAACAUAUCUUUUUGAGAAGAGGCUAUGGACAUCACAUGCCCUGCACCAAAGUCAAGGGCAGGACAGAAACAGGCUCUCCGAAUAUAGAUUCCCUUGUUCAUGCGUGGUUCGGGAAGGCCCAGUCAUGAGCACUAUCUGCAGUGCCUCUAUUCACAUGACU